GGGCCCGCACAAGCGGUGGAGUAUGUGGUUUAAUUCGAUGCAACGCGAAGAACCUUACCAGGGUUUGACAUCCUGCGAAUCUCUUGGAAACAGGAGAGUGCCUUCGGGAACGCAGUGACAGGUGGUGCAUGGCUGUCGUCAGCUCGUGUCGUGAGAUGUUGGGUUAAGUCCCGCAACGAGCGCAACCCACGUCUUUAGUUGCCAGCAUUUAGUUGGGCACUCUAGAGAGACUGCCGGUGAUAAACCGGAGGAAGGUGUGGAUGACGUCAAGUCAUCAUGCCCCUUACAUCCUGGGCUACACACGUGCUACAAUGGUAGGUACAGAACGAUGCAAGACCGCGAGGUGGAGCAAAUCGCUAAAACCUGCCCCAGUUCGGAUUGCAGGCUGCAACUCGCCUGCAUGAAGUCGGAAUCGCUAGUAAUCGC
rnacentral:rRNA from 1 species